rnacentral:tRNA from 1 species
GCACCAAACGAGGCGAUAUCAAAAAAAGUAAGAUGACUGUGCGAAGGUGGCGGAAUUGGUAGACGCGCUAGCUUCAGGUGUUAGUGU